UACGAAGGGGGCUAGCGUUGUUCGGAAUUACUGGGCGUAAAGGGCGCGUAGGCGGUACUUCAAGUCAGGCGUGAAAGCCCCGGGCUCAACCUGGGAAUGGCGGUUGAAACUGGCGAACUUGAAUCUGGCAGAGGGGGGUGGAAUUCCACGUGUAGCAGUGAAAUGCGUAGAGAUGUGGAGGAACACCGAUGGCGAAGGCAGCCCCCUGGGCUGAGAUUGACGCUCAGGCACGAAAGCGUGGGGAGCAAACAGG
rnacentral:rRNA from 1 species